UACAGAGGGGGCAAGCGUUGUUCGGAAUUACUGGGCGUAAAGGGCGCGUAGGCGGCCUUCUAAGUCGAACGUGAAAUCCCUGGGCUCAACCCAGGAACUGCGUCCGAUACUGGAAGGCUUGAAUUCGGGAGAGGGAUGCGGAAUUCCAGGUGUAGCGGUGAAAUGCGUAGAUAUCUGGAGGAACACCGGUGGCGAAGGCGGCAUCCUGGACCGGCAUUGACGCUGAGGCGCGAAAGCCAGGGGAGCAAACGGG
rnacentral:rRNA from 1 species